rnacentral:rRNA from 1 species
ACUCAAAGGAAUUGACGGGGGCCCGCACAAGUGGUGGAGCAUGUGGUUUAAUUCGACGCUACGCGAAGAACCUUACCUGGGCUUGACAUGGACAGGAAUGUACCAGAGAUGGUGCAGCCUUCGGGUCUGUUCACAGGUGCUGCAUGGCUGUCGUCAGCUCGUGCCGUGAGGUGUUGGGUUAAGUCCCGCAACGAGCGCAACCCUUACUUUUAGUUGCCAUCGGGUAAUGCCGGGCACUCUAGAGGGACUGCCAGCACAAGCUGGAGGAAGGUGGGGAUGACGUCAAGUCAGCAUGGCCCUUACGUCCAGGGCUACACACGUGCUACAAUGGCCGGUACAGAGGGCAGCCAACCCGCGAGGGGGAGCGAAUCUCAGAAAGCCGGUCUCAGUUCGGAUUGCAGGCUGCAACUCGCCUGCAUGAAGCCGGAAUCACUAGUAACCGCAGAUCAGCUACGCUGCGGUGAAUACGUUCCCGGGCCUUGUACACACCGCCCGU